UAAACUUCUUUUAUUAAGGACGAAGAAAGUGACGGUACUUAAUGAAUAAGCUCCGGCUAACUACGUGCCAGCAGCCGCGGUAAUACGUAGGGAGCAAGCGUUGUCCGGAUUUACUGGGUGUAAAGGGUGCGUAGGCGGCUUUGCAAGUCAGAUGUGAAAUCUAUGGGCUCAACCCAUAGCCUGCAUUUGAAACUGCAGAGCUUGAGUGAAGUAGAGGCAGGCGGAAUUCCCCGUGUAGCGGUGAAAUGCGUAGAGAUGGGGAGGAACACCAGUGGCGAAGGCGGCCUGCUGGGCUUUAACUGACGCUGAGGCACGAAAGCGUGGGUAGCAAACAGGAUUAGAUACCCUGGUAGUCCACGCUGUAAACGGUGAUUACUAGGUGUGGGGGGUCUGACCCCUUCCGUGCCGGAGUUAACACAAUAAGUAAUCCACCUGGGGAGUACGGCCGCAAGGUUGAAACUCAAAGGAAUUGACGGGGGCCCGCACAAGCAGUGGAGUAUGUGGUUUAAUUCGAAGCAACGCGAAGAACCUUACCAGGUCUUGACAUCCUACUAACGAGAUA
rnacentral:rRNA from 1 species